AUUGAACGCUGGCGGCAGGCCUAACACAUGCAAGUCGAGCGGAUGAAGGGAGCUUGCUCCUGGAUUCAGCGGCGGACGGGUGAGUAAUGCCUAGGAAUCUGCCUGGUAGUGGGGGAUAACGUCCGGAAACGGGCGCUAAUACCGCAUACGUCCUGAGGGAGAAAGUGGGGGAUCUUCGGACCUCACGCUAUCAGAUGAGCCUAGGUCGGAUUAGCUAGUUGGUGGGGUAAAGGCCUACCAAGGCGACGAUCCGUAACUGGUCUGAGAGGAUGAUCAGUCACACUGGAACUGAGACACGGUCCAGACUCCUACGGGAGGCAGCAGUGGGGAAUAUUGGACAAUGGGCGAAAGCCUGAUCCAGCCCUGCCGCGUGUGUGAAGGAGGUCUUCGGAUUGUAAAGCACUUUAAGUUGGGAGGAAGGGCAGUAAGUUAAUACCUUGCUGUUUUGACGUUACCAACAGAAUAAGCACCGGCUAACUUCGUG
rnacentral:rRNA from 1 species